rnacentral:rRNA from 1 species
CAGGAUGAACGCUGGCGGUAUGCUUAACACAUGCAAGUCGAACGGAUUCUUAGGAAUCAGUGGCGGACGGGUGAGUAACACGUGAAAACCUGCCUCUAGGACGGGGAUAACAGAGGGAAACUUCUGCUAAUUCCCGAUGAGCCUGCGGGUAAAAGGAUUUAUCGCCUAGAGAGGGGUUCGCGUCCGAUUAGCUAGUUGGUGGGGUAAAGGCUCACCAAGGCUGCGAUCGGUAGCUGUUCUGAGAGGAAGAACAGCCACACUGGGACUGAGACACGGCCCAGACUCCUACGGGAGGCAGCAGUGGGGAAUUUUCCGCAAUGGGCGAAAGCCUGACGGAGCAAUACCGCGUGAGGGAAGAAGGUCCUUGGAUCGUAAACCUCUUUUCUCAGGGAAGAAGUUCUGACGGUACCUGAGGAAUAAGCCUCGGCUAACUCCGUGCCAGCAGCCGCGGUAAUACGGAGGAGGCAAGCGUUAUCCGGAAUUAUUGGGCGUAAAGCGUUCGCAGGUGGCUGUUCAAGUCUGCUGUCAAAGACCGGAGCUUAACUCCGGAAAGGCGGUGGAAACUGAAGAGCUAGAGUGCGGUAGGGGUAGAGGGAAUUCCCAGUGUAGCGGUGAAAUGCGUAGAGAUUGGGAAGAACACCGGUGGCGAAAGCGCUCUACUAGGCCGCAACUGACACUCAGGGACGAAAGCUAGGGGAGCGAAUGGGAUUAGAUACCCCAGUAGUCCUAGCUGUAAACGAUGGGUACUAGGCGUAGCUUGUAUCGACCCGAGCUGUGCCGAAGCUAACGCGUUAAGUACCCCGCCUGGGGAGUACGCACGCAAGUGUGAAACUCAAAGGAAUUGACGGGGGCCCGCACAAGCGGUGGAGUAUGUGGUUUAAUUCGAUGCAACGCG